rnacentral:lncRNA from 1 species
GUUGAUAACACUAGAACUUAAUUUAGCCUAUAUAAUUGUUUGAAUGUGCGAUUUUUUUUUAUAAAAAAGAUAAAUAUUAUAUAUUCAUGUCGAUGUACAAAUGGGUUUGGAUUUCCCUAGAAUCUAAUUUGAUCCAAGAAAACUGCUCUUUAGGCACCCUAUUUUGGUGUCAACACCUCAAACUGACUAUUUUACAUUUGACGGCAAUUGAUUGUCAUUCCAAACUUAUCAUAUAUCAGACAUGGUUCAUUUGUACUGCACUAUUCACUCACCUCUUCCAUCCAAAACCAAAAAAGUUCGAUUUUUGUUUUUUGCAAAAAAAUGUGUAUCAAAUCAUCAAAGAAAGAUUACUAUAAGGUAUCUACAUCAAUUGACGUUAAGAAAUAGAUAUUGCAUAUUUGAACUUGUUUACAUUGUUAUAUAUUUUCCUGUCAUUUUUUUUUUUGUUUCUAACAUGACGACAUAACCGUAAUUAAAAACCAGUCGCACAAACAAUAAUUAACACACCCUGAGAGAUAACAUUAGAAUCCUCGAAACAAACUCGCAUAAGGAACAUUUUGAAAGUCGAUGGUUACAUUUGUAUCUUUAUAGUUUGGUAAAAGAACAUAAAUGGAUAUAAAGGUAACUAUUGACUUUCCUAAAAGUUUACCCCUUCGCCCUUAUACUGUAUCAUUUACAUUAAGA